ACUCCUACGGGAGGCAUCAGUGGGGAAUAUUGCACAAUGGGCGAAAGCCUGAUGCAGCAACGCCGCGUGAGCGAUGAAGGCCUUCGGGUCGUAAAGCUCUGUCCUCAAGGAAGAUAAUGACGGUAUUUGAGGAGGAAGCCCCGGCUAACUACGUGCCAGCAGCCGCGGUAAUAC
rnacentral:rRNA from 1 species